rnacentral:rRNA from 1 species
GGCCUAUCAGCUUGUUGGUGGGGUAAUGGCCUACCAAGGCGACGACGGGUAGCCGGCCUGAGAGGGCGACCGGCCACACUGGGACUGAGACACGGCCCAGACUCCUACGGGAGGCAGCAGUGGGGAAUAUUGCACAAUGGGCGAAAGCCUGAUGCAGCGACGCCGCGUGAGGGAUGACGGCCUUCGGGUUGUAAACCUCUUUCAGCAGGGAAGAAGCGCAAGUGACGGUACCUGCAGAAGAAGCGCCGGCUAACUACGUGCCAGCAGCCGCGGUAAUACGUAGGGCGCAAGCGUUGUCCGGAAUUAUUGGGCGUAAAGAGCUCGUAGGCGGCUUGUCACGUCGGAUGUGAAAGCCCGGGGCUUAACCCCGGGUCUGCAUUCGAUACGGGCUAGCUAGAGUGUGGUAGGGGAGAUCGGAAUUCCUGGUGUAGCGGUGAAAUGCGCAGAUAUCAGGAGGAACACCGGUGGCGAAGGCGGAUCUCUGGGCCAUUACUGACGCUGAGGAGCGAAAGCGUGGGGAGCGAACAGGAUUAGAUACCCUGGUAGUCCACGCCGUAAACGUUGGGAACUAGGUGUUGGCGACAUUCCACGUCGUCGGUGCCGCAGCUAACGCAAUUAAGUUCCCCGCCUGGGGAGUACGG